UUCCCAGUGAUAAGCAUUUCAACUGGAGUUGCUUGUGAAGAUCCUAUAACGAACGAGAAAUGCUGCGGCUAACCCUUCAUUUUUCUGUUGAAUUCCGAAGCAGAAUGAUUGGAGAAAGUAUGCGUCAUGGUAGGAAAUUUCCAGAAGAUAACGGCGUGAAGUUUUCGAA